rnacentral:rRNA from 1 species
GAUAUGGCUCAGAACGAACGCUGGCGGCGCGUCUUAAGCAUGCAAGUCGAACGGCAAGAGGUAGCAAUACCUCCUAGAGUGGCGGACUGGUGAGUAACACGUGGGUGACAUACCCUUCAGAUGGGGAUAGCUAUUAGAAAUAGUAGAUAAUACCGAAUACGAGCACAGGGGUUAGAGAUCUGUGAGGAAAGGAGCUAAGGCUCCGCUGAAGGAAUGGCCUGCGGCCCAUUAGCUAGUUGGUGAGGUAAGAGCCCACCAAGGCGAUGAUGGGUAUCCCGGCCUUAGAGGGUGAACGGACACAUUGGGACUGAGAUACGGCCCAGACUCCUACGGGAGGCAGCAGCUAAGAAUAUUCCGCAAUGGACGAAAGUCUGACGGAGCGACGCCGCGUGGAUGAAGAAGGCCGGAAGGUUGUAAAAUCCUUUUGAAACUGAAGAAUAAGCGUUGUAGGGAAUGACAGCGUGGUGACAGUAGGUUUUGAAUAAGCAACGGCUAAUUACGUGCCAGCCGCAGC